AUCGUCUCGAUAGUUCUAUCAGAGAAAACGAGGUCGUCUCGGAUUCGAGGCGAAUUCGUUGUGUUUAUUGGGAUUAGUUGAACCAACGAUAUACAAUUU